UACGUAGGGGGCGAGCGUUGUCCGGAUUUAUUGGGCGUAAAGAGCGUGUAGGCGGCCUGGAAGGUCCGUUGUGAAAACUCGAGGCUUAACCUCGAGCUGUCGGUGGAAACCACAUGGCUAGAGUCCGGAAGAGGAGAGUGGAAUUCCUGGUGUAGCGGUGAAAUGCGCAGAUAUCAGGAGGAACACCGGUGGCGAAGGCGGGUCUCUGGGCCGACACUGACGCUGAGGAGCGAAAGCGUGGGGAGCGAACAGG
rnacentral:rRNA from 1 species